GCUUACGGUCACACUACCCUGCGAACGCCCGAUCUCGUCUGAUCUCGGAAGCUAAGCAGGGUUUGGCCUGGUUAGUACUUGGAUGGGAGACCACCUGGGAAUACCAGGUGCUGUAAGCU
rfam:Astyanax mexicanus Tnplaced_Scaffold3291, whole genome shotgun sequence.